AAGUUCAUGUUAUAAUAUUUGCUGAAUAAAAUAAAUUCCUAUUUAGGUUCAAUUUUUAUAGGCACGUUCGCGAAGAUUUUAUUUUGCAUAAAGAUCCGCAGUCUAAUUAUUAAUCUUCGUGUUCAUAGUAGAAAGCGCCGAGGAAAAGAUAACCCUAUUCGUGUUGCUCGAACCAAGAAGAUUACAUUUUCAUAUCGAGUUUUGGUACUGUUAAACACUAUUCGCAAAAUUCACUCACAAGGUGUCCAAGUGAAAUUAGAUUAAGCUCAAGCAGCAAAGAUGACUCAAAAGGGAACAUCCUAACAACUACUGAAGUUAGAUGAGAUUCUUAAGACACGUUCUCGAUGACUUGAUUAACGAAAUAGGACCUAGAUAUUUAGUUCAUCAUACUCUUUUGAAUUAGUGCGCUAGAAAGGAGAUGUCCCUAAUAGUUAAUAAGUAGGAUUGAUUAUAGGUCUUGGUAUUGAAGAGUGAACCUCUAAGAGUACUGUAUUAAAUUCUAGUAAGAAACAACCCCACAAGGAAAUGUUUUUAAUAACGUUUAAGAUUGGAGUUGACUCAAGCUUCAUCUACCUUCCCCGAAUGAAUCGGACAAAGAAAAAAAGGGGUAGUUCUGGCAACAUCAAGUCUCCUGGCUCGUUUUUAAUGGAAAGUAACUAACUUGUUUAAUUAUUUCCAGAUCUAAAAGGUUAUAGGCAUUAUUCUGUCCCAAAAAUGUUUGUGUUGUAUAUUGGAGUAUCUCGCACUAAACGUCUUAUUGUUACAUUUAUAUGUUAGAUAACCUGAUAGUGUUACCUCAAGCUUCACUAUCAAGAAAACCCCAAAACGAAAAAUUCUUAACAACGCUUAAAACUAGAGUUAAAUAAGUCUUCAAGGUCUCAACCUCAAUAAAUCAGACGAAGAGAGGGGUAGUUCUUGCAGCAUCGAGUCCCCUGGCUCGUUUUCGAUGGAAAGUAGUUAACUGGUUCAACUAUCUCCAGACCUAGAAGGUCGUAAGCAUUAUUCAACCCCAAGAGCUCGAUUGCGCGAAACGGAUGGUAUACGAUCUGAAAAGAGAAAGAAGGAAAACCACGCGGAACGGCUAGAAAAAGAAACGAAACGAUUUCAUCGAAUGAGGUCUGGGUGAGUUCAAUGCCUCUCCCUCUCUCUUUUCAUCCGUGGAAAAGACGGCGAUGGUUGCGGUGGUCGGCUACCGAGAGCAACACAUGCAUCGACACCUCCACGAUUACUCAUGUCCGGGCGAGGCGAUCAACGCGAAACAGAAAGCAAUUCGACCUCGGCCGGAACCAAACUCAAGGACCAAUUAUCCAGCUACUGGUAGAUCGUUUUGCGAUCUAGGCGUCACGCGGUGCGGCAAUCGGUAGACAAAAAUUGAAAAACCAACUAGUGGUGUGACAGAAUUGGCCAUUUUCGUUCGAAGACAUUUUCCUUAGGGCGAACUAAAACUGGAAUAGGAAGUGUGAGGGAAUUAUUGUGUUUUGUCCAGUUUUACAAUCUCUAGGAAACAAUAUUAUCAUUUUUGUUAAUAUCACAAUAAAAUAUCAGUAUGAAGCGAA